rnacentral:rRNA from 1 species
CACGGACCGCACGAACGUUAUUCGGUAUCACUGGGCUUAAAGGGUGCGUAGGCGGCUUUGCAAGUUGGGUGUGAAAGCCCUCGGCUCAACCGAGGAAUUGCGCUCAAUACUGCCGAGCUCGAGAGAGACAGAGGUAAGCGGAACUAAUGGUGGAGCGGUGAAAUGCGUUGAUAUCAUUAGGAACACCGGUGGCGAAGGCGGCGUUACUGGG